AUUGAACGCUGGCGGCAGGCUUAACACAUGCAAGUCGAGCGGAUGAAGGGAGCUUGCUCCUGGAUUCAGCGGCGGACGGGUGAGUAAUGCCUAUGAAUCUGCCUGGUAGUGGGGGAUAACGUCCGGAAACGGGCGCUAAUACCGCAUACGUCCUGAGCGAGAAAGUGGGGGAUCUUCGGACCGCACGCUAUCAGAUGAGCCUAGGUCGGAUUAGCUAGUUGGUGGGGUAAAGGCCUACCAAGGCGACGAUCCGUAACUGGUCUGAGAGGAUGAUCAGUCACACUGGAACUGAGACACGGUACAGACUCAUACGGGAGGCAGCAGUGGGGAAUAUUGGACCAUGGGCGAAAGCCUGAUCCAGCCAUGCCGCGUGUGUGAAGAAGGUCUUCGGAUUGUAAAGCACUUUAAGUUGGGAGGAAGGGCAGUAAGUUAAUACCUUGCUGUUUUGACGUUACCAACAGAAUAAGCACCGGCUAACUUCGUG
rnacentral:rRNA from 1 species